rnacentral:rRNA from 1 species
UACGUAGGGUGCGAGCGUUGUCCGGAAUUACUGGGCGUAAAGAGCUCGUAGGUGGUUUGUCGCGUCGAUCGUGAAAACUUGGGGCUUAACCCUGAGCUUGCGGUCGAUACGGGCAUGACUGGAGUUCGGCAGGGGAGACUGGAAUUCCUGGUGUAGCGGUGAAAUGCGCAGAUAUCAGGAGGAACACCGGUGGCGAAGGCGGGUCUCUGGGCCGAUACUGACGCUGAGGAGCGAAAGCGUGGGGAGCGAACAGG